UCUUCGUGAACAUGGCGUACUGCUCAGUAACACGUGGAUAACCUGCCCUUAGGUCUGGCAUAACCCCGGGAAACUGGGGAUAAUUCCGGAUAGAUUAUAGAUGCUGGAAUGCCCUGUAAUCCAAAGCUAUUGUGCCUAAGGAUGGGUCUGCGGUCUAUCAGGUUGUAGUGGGUGUAAUGUACCUACUAGCCUACGACGGAUACGGGUUGUGGGAGCAAGAGCCCGGAGAUGGAUUCUGAGACAUGAAUCCAGGCCCUACGGGGCGCAGCAGGCGCGAAAACUUUACAAUGCGGGAAACCGCGAUAAGGGGACACCGAGUGCCAGCAUCCUAUGUUGGCUGUCCAUAUGUAUAAAUCACAUGUGUUAGCAAGGGCCGGGCAAGACCGGUGCCAGCCGCCGCGGUAACACCGGCGGCCCGAGUGGUGGCCACUAUUAUUGGGUCUAAAGGGUCCGUAGCCGGUUUGGUCAGUCUUCCGGGAAAUCUGACGGCUCAACCGUUAGGCUUUCGGGGGAUACUACCAGGCUUGGGACCGGGAGAGGUAAGAGGUACUACGGGGGUAGGAGUGAAAUCUUGUAAUCCCUGUGGGACCACCAGUGGCGAAGGCGUCUUACCAGAACGGGUCCGACGGUGAGGGACGAAAGCUGGGGGCACGAACCGGAUUAGAUACCCGGGUAGUCCCAGCUGUAAACUAUGCUCGCUAGGUGUCAGGGACGGUGCGACCGUUUCUGGUGCCGCAGGGAAGCCGUGAAGCGAGCCACCUGGGAAGUACGGUCGCAAGGCUGAAACUUA
rnacentral:rRNA from 1 species